rnacentral:lncRNA from 1 species
AAGCUGAAUCCUAACAGGAAAUUUAAAGGUAUUCACUGUCUCACUAUCUAAUAGGAAAUACAAACUACCAUAUUUGUGCUGCUCCAUCUAUGAAGCCAUUAUGGUUUUUCCACACUAAUGUCAAUCAUGUUUCCUCGCUGCUUUGCACAAAAUCAAUAGUUGUACUACUGGAUCUAAAAAACAAACACCAGUUAUACAACAACACAAUAAACGAUUGUAUAUAAAGAAUGUAUAUAGAGAGGAUUUUGGUUCCACUGGAUCUACCCCUCCUCCCUUCUCCACUGGAUCAGCAGCAUGGAGAUUGAAAUCUAAGCCAAAAUCGCUGUCAAAUUUGAGGCCAGCAUCCUGCGUACAAGGUAGGAGCAAAUCACAAAACUGCAGAAAUUAGAACUGGAAAAUCAUGAGCACCCAGAUACUAGCAGCAACAAAAUAGUGCUGUCGAGCGUAGUGCUGCCGACAGUAGGGAGUGAAUGGGGCCUGCGAUUUGUAGGUCUUAAUCUCAUAAAUCCCAUCCUGCUCGACCUUAUCUUACCCCGUGGAAACAAUUUCAAUCUCCUCGAUCCUGAGCAAGACAGAUCCCAUAAAUCCCCAUCCUACUCUAUUUCAACAAAAUAUGCAGCUAGGGUUAGGGCCAUCACAGGCGUUGCUAGGCUUACACAUGAGCACACAGAGCACCAUGACCGAGGGGACUUGAGAUGGUUGGGCUAUAUGGCACGCACCUGGAUCUCGCCGCCGCCGUCACCCUUCUGUUGGAGGCUUGCCGUGACCGCCACCUGGGCUGGGAUCCUGCCACCAUCGGCUCCCGCACUCGAUUCCAGCCGCCCGCGCCUGGAUCCGGCCGCCCGCGCUUGGAUCCCACAGCCGGCGCCACCCCAUCCCGAAGCGCGCGGCCCUACCUCAGGGAGCCGCGGGGAGGAGCAGGGGCCUGCGCAGGUGAGGAGGAUGCCCGGCACCGACUAGGAAAGCCCAACUCCGAGUCCACAUCUCGUUCGGUCGUGUUCCGAUUCUCAAUCCACUCUACAAAACUGUUGCAUGCCGCACAGCCGUGCGUCCGUCGUGUCGUCGCAGAAGGAGUCGCCGCUAGCGCUUCUGGAGGAGGCAUGAGAGGAGAGCACACGAUGGGGAUAAGGGGCAACUUUGUGAUGGAUGUGGGCGUUUCUAUUUUUGUUUCUUCUUUCUGUUGGUGUGCAUCUAAAUAUUUUUCUUUUUCAACAAAGAUGGGUGCUAGGUUGAUUUUCUAUUUAAAAUUUUCGUGUUUUGCUAUUUAUUUAUUUAAAUUUUUUUUUAUCAAACAGGCAAACGAACAUGCGUGCAUCUAUUUAUUCUUUUACUUGUUGGGAAACAUCACGUUCAUAAUAUUUUGGAAGCUUUCCACAAUUUAUGAAUAAUUUCUAUGCAUAAAUUAAUUAUAUAAAGAAAAGGAAAUUUUUAGAACCCUAUUUGAAUUCAAGUUUUAAGGCAACAUAGGGAAAUAUGAUCAGUAAUCGAUAUAUUUUCCAAUCAAUAGCUCACUUUGUCGUGAUGCUACGCCAACAAAGUGUCCUGAAUACAUAGAGAGACAUAAGAAAAUGCUUG